rnacentral:lncRNA from 1 species
GUUGUUAUUCUUUUUCCAGCCAGACUGCUGAGUUUACUGCAGCUGGGGAUUUGUACCACUGCUUGCUUCUGGAGGGACUGGAAAGUUGUAGGAGUCUUACCUGAUGGCUUUAUCCAGUUCCUAUUUUGCCUUUAUCCUACGUUAUGCUAACUUCUGUCCUCCCUGCAUUCCUUCCUGUUCUAGGAAUGCAUCUGUCUUGAGACUGGAAACGUGAGAACAAGAUCUCCAGAUGAUAUAUUACCUGGAAAAUUUCCUACAGUGCCUUUCACUUGAUUAUCUCAGAGUGCUUUAGUAGGCUUAGAAGGUGCUGAGGAACAAUAAAUACAGAAGAGAAGCUGUGCUGUAAAUCUUACAGCAUGUAUUUCUGUGAAAGCCUUUUCUUACUCUCUUUUAUCCAGGCAUCAAAUGGAAAAGAACAAGAGGAAGAUGAAGGCUGAGGCUCAGGCCCAACAUUUUUCUCUGUCACUUUUGUGAAAGAAAAGAAUGUCCUGUCUCCAUAAGGACUGUACCUGGCCUUGGCUGGUGGGUCACCUCCCUGGUCUCCGUUCACCCCCAGGACAUUAACCUGUGAUGAAACUCCACUGAUGCAGAGCUGGGGGAUCCUGUGUGAGAAGCUCAGAGAUGGAUUGCUGUGUCCAACGCUGCUCCUGCUGCAGAAAUACAGCCCUGCCGUGCUGCUGGAGACCUUUUGGCACCUCUUGGACCAGGUGAAGAAAAACCAAGCACCAACGGGGUGAGGGUCCCAGGUGGUUAGAUGUUUGCUGUUGCAGCUACAGAACUCACAUGAAGCUCCCUACGUGGCAAGUCGCAACCAAAGCAAGGUUCACAAACCUCUAUAUUAGGUUUGGCAGCUUUAGUACACAGCCUGUGGCCUGUUCCUGG